rnacentral:rRNA from 1 species
UACGUAGGGUGCGAGCGUUGUCCGGAAUUAUUGGGCGUAAAGAGCUUGUAGGUGGUCUGUCGAGUCUGCUGUGAAAAUCCGGGGCUCAACCCCGGACUUGCAGUGGGUACGGGCAGACUAGAGUGUGGUAGGGGAGACUGGAAUUCCUGGUGUAGCGGUGAAAUGCGCAGAUAUCAGGAGGAACACCGAUGGCGAAGGCAGUUCUCUGGGCCACUACUGACGCUGAGAAGCGAAAGCAUGGGGAGCGAACAGG